ensembl:lncRNA
ACAGCACCGAGCUGACCGUCCCACAGGACGGCGCUUACCGUCCUACAGCACCGAGCUGACCGUCCUACAGCUCCGAGCUCACCGUCCUACAGCUCCGAGCUCACCGUCCUACAGCACGGCGCUUACCGUCCUACAGCUCCGAGCUUACCGUCCUACAGCUCCGAGCUCACCGUCCUACAGCUCCGAGCUUACCGUCCUACAGCACCGAGCUCACCGUCCUACAGCUCCGAGCUCACCGUCCUACAGCACGGCGCUCACCGUCCUACAGCACGGAGCUAUGCAGCCGACAGCAAUUGCUUGUUGAUGUACACAGACGGACAGGAGACAUGCUGUUUUGUUGAAGUGCGAGAGUAACUUUUAUUGAUAUUAUUGUCAUUUUAUUUGUGUUGCCAUAGGCAAACUCACCCGUUUGUAGAUUACACUUGGAUUAUUUAUCACAAAAGAAGAUAUAAGUACGGUGGCUGGGAAGUGCAAAGCACAUUUACAACAUAGACAACAAAAUAACAUUUUAGAAAACACUUCUACAUAAAAAAAAGGCAAAUAAAAAAAUUGACAACAAAAUAACAAGUCCGCAACAAAUUAACAAGUGGCUCUUGACGGAAAGGGAUUGUCUGAAAUACCGGAAGUGACUCAACAAUGUUUCUGGCCCAAACAAAGCGCUAGCGGAAGAGGAGCGAAAGCACACGGAUAACACCAGCUAUGCAACAUGAGGCAGCUCAUGUAUCAGAUGUUACCAAAAGAAGACGUCUAGUCUGGAUAGCAGCUGUGAGACGAGCUGAUAUCCAGCUCUCUUCCAUCUCCAAAUAUCUGUUGGUGCUCCAGAUAUUUUCAUUCCGGCAAACCAGCCUAUGAAAUGGAUGAAACACAUCGUGACUGGGUUCCAGCGCUACACAAGGGGCACUCCGAAAUCCCUGCUUCAAACAUACCGCCAUGCCAAUCAGAUUACUUCUUCCCUGUGAGGGUGAAGAUGUGACCCUUCUGGAUAAGAUGGUGAAGGUUUGCUGCGUUUUGGUGAACAGUGUGGUAGUAAAACCAGGGAAAAAUGAAACUUGCGCCUGUUAAAUAUUCUUAAGUCUUGCGCUGUAUAAAUAGCAGUAGUUUUUCAAAAGAUACAGUAAAUUAAGUAGUGAUAGUAUUUGGUGAUAUCAUGUAAACGCUGUCAUGAUUUUGUGUAAACAUUUUGUCAUUUGUAAACUAUAAAUGACAUUGAUUCUACAUUGUAACUGAUGUGAUGUUCUAUAAAGUGGUUUUAAUAAAAAACAAAAGGCAA